UUGACACAUCCCUGCCAAUCUCCGGCAGACCCUCCCUCCCAGACCCUCCCACCUCCUGGACAGCAUCCAUGUUGAAGCUGCCUUCAACAUGGAUGCUGUCCAGGAAGUAGGAGGGUCUGGGAGGGAGGGUCUGCCGGAGAUUGGCAGGGCUGUGUCAG